rnacentral:rRNA from 1 species
UGUCGGUACUGUAAGAAUAAGGAUCGGCUAACUCCGUGCCAGCAGCCGCGGUAAUACGGAGGAUCCAAGCGUUAUCCGGAAUCAUUGGGUUUAAAGGGUCCGUAGGCGGUUUAAUAAGUCAGUGGUGAAAUCUGGUCGCUCAACGAUCAAACGGCCAUUGAUACUGUUAGACUUGAAUUAUUGGGAAGUAACUAGAAUAUGUAGUGUAGCGGUGAAAUGCUUAGAUAUUACAUGGAAUACCAAUUGCGAAGGCAGGUUACUACCAAUGGAUUGACGCUGAUGGACGAAAGCGUGGGGAGCGAACAGGAUUAGAUACCCUGGUAGUCCACGCCGUAAACGAUGGAUACUAGCUGUUGGGCGCAAGUUCAGUGGCUAAGCGAAAGUGAUAAGUAUCCCACCUGGGGAGUACGUUCGCAAGAAUGAAACUCAAAGGAAUUGACGG